GCAGGAACGCGAGUCCUUUGGGACUUCAACUUCUUGAUCUCAAAUCAGGUAGGAUUACCCGCUGAACUUAAG
rnacentral:rRNA from 1 species